UCCACUUUUUCUUCCUCUCCACGAAAGAAGCACGGGAGAAACCCCAAGUCUCCCCAUGGUUGCCGCACCUCCUCACCGCCAAUCCGCCGCUUCCGACCACCCCUCAUCUCGCCGACGCCACCCCGAGCUCCGCCUCGUUCCCCUCUUCCUCCUAGUGCACGGAAUCGACCGGGGGAGCCUUCUACCGUCGCCAAAUCACUGAUUCCCCCGCUCCGGCCGCCGUAGUUCGUGGACGAUUCCGGCGCCGUUCGUCCGCCUAUGGCCACACCGAGGUCACCACCGAGUUCCUGGUGCCUCCCUCUACCUCCUGGACACUCUCACCUCCUUCUUUGCUUCCUGGUCUGUUCUCCCCGUGUUGAUGCCGGCCGUUCUCCGCAGCGCCUCGCCGCCGGCAUUCUCCGGUGACCCCCUCUCGACGGCGCCGCCACCUUCUGGUCCGCACCAGCGAGGCGAGUCCAGUGCGCCAAGUCUCGCAACCCGGGGCGCCCUAUCUCGCCCGCGCGCGUCAUGCCGCCUCGCUGCAGUCACCGUCCUCUCGUCGCCGCGAACGGCAACCCCACGUCGCGCAACCUUUGCCACGCUGGCCUCCACGUCGACCCGCGGGCCCCAUCCGUCAUCCUCUCGGGCUAAGCCCAUCCUCGCAUUUGCUUCUUCCCGGAUAGGAUCGCGAAGUGGUGUGGUGAGAUACGACAAGUCCUCCGGAUGUUCCUCGGCAAGCUUUAACAGUCAAGCAUUUCCCCUAUACUCCUGUCCCUGCAGGAGUCGCUCACCUAUUUUAUUUUGCCUUCUCCCUCAUGCUAUCCUUAAGUUGCGUUCUUGUCACGUGUCCUUUCCACUUGUUACCUCAAGCAGCCUAUAUUGCCACCACCACCGCCUACAGCCGUUGUUUGGUUUCGGGUCUGCCUUGCGAGUCGUAGUGCAUGCUAGUGCUGUUUUAUCUCGUUACCGUUGUUGUUAUCUUAUCGGGUUAUAUGUUGGGAAGAAUCAUGGUUACUUCAGUUGCUGACAAUUGUUUAGCGGAGGCAUCGGUGGGUCAGCUGAUCAUUUUAUGACGGCUCGCUUGUGUUUCCUAAAUAAUUUAGGACACGAGUUCUUGUUAUCUGUUCCGAGACUGAGCGCUCUAACCACACGUGGGUAUGCUUACCGGGUCUCCCCUCGACCACUGCCGGAAUCUACAGCUUUGUCCAGUGGCCACAACUAGUUUGGAUGUUUGUUUUGUUUCUCCCGGGCGUGCAAGCUUGUUUCUUUGUGGUCAGAUGAUAUGAUGUUACUCUUGGGGAAGCCAUGUUGCCUUGUAACCCCGUUGUCUCUUGCACGCUCGUAGGAUGCGGUACGUAUUGCUGAAGAUGGAUUCACCCUGCUGGCACUGUUUCCAUCCGAAAGCCGUAGACGCAAACAGCUAAGUCCGCGUCGGAGUUUCGAUCGGGCUCCGAAACGGGUUAACUUAGUUAGGUGGCUUCCUGGACAUUGUUGUAGUGAAGGAGAGUGCGUGUCGUGAUAUCCACCUGUCGUAAGUGGGUUGAUCGUGCGUGUGGGCACAUUUGGGCACCCCUGCAGGGUUACAAUCUUAUCGAUAAGCCGCGUCCGCGGUUAUGGACGACUUGGAGCUGUAUGACUCGACCAUAGACAACUUACACCUGUUGUUUCAAUCAAAAUAACUAGUGUAGUAAGUUAGCACAACUUUAAUAAUAAAUGGUUAAAACUUGUCAACAGUGUGAGUGCCUUUGUAAGUACUUCUUUGCGAAGGGGGAACACAUUGGCUGUGUUAUGUUUGCAGAGUAUAGAACGGUUAGUUUAUGCGCUCUCUCAUCUUCUCUGAUUAGACGAAUGUUGUAGAGUGUCUCUAUAGGUUUUUAGUGCUUUCGCGCUGCCGCUUAACCCCACCAUAUUGCCUAUGAUGUUCCUCUUGCGUCCUCUAAGUCCCCUACGUGCCUCAAGUACAAAGGACGACUGGUUGACGAAUGCUUAUACGUCUUGACGUCUUGUUGAGUACGAACCCGUACUUAUUGCUGCUUCUACGGGAUAUAACUGGGCAGGUAUGAAGAUACGUUUGAUGAAGACUACGUUAGCAAGGUUACCCUUCCGGCUUGGCCUGGGCAGGGUUAUGGACGUCACUGGUUAUCUUCAGGACUCUUAGUCCAAUUUGUAUCUUGUCCGUACUCGGACGUAUUCGAUCUUCUGUAUGAUUUGGAUCUUUGUAUUGUAUAUUUGUAUCUUGACUCGUUGGAGUCGUUGUUGUAAUAUAUGUAUCUUGUGGGCUCUAUUGUAAUCCUGUUGUAAUGUUA